rnacentral:rRNA from 1 species
UACGAAGGGGGCGAGCGUUGUUCGGAUUUACUGGGCGUAAAGGGCGCGUAGGCGGCCCUCUUAGUCGGGUGUGAAAGCCCCGGGCUCAACCUGGGAAUUGCGCGCGAAACGGGGGGGCUUGAGUGUGGGAGAGGGAUGCGGAAUUCCAGGUGUAGCGGUGAAAUGCGUAGAUAUCUGGAGGAACACCGGUGGCGAAGGCGGCAUCCUGGACCAUUACUGACACUGAAACGCGAAAGCCAGGGGAGCAAACGGG